rnacentral:sRNA from 1 species
AAGGUUCUCUGACAUCCAAAUCCGAAGGUUAAAGAGACUAGGCAUUGAAAAGACUGACCCUACCACACUGACAGAUGAAGAGAUAAACAGAUUUGCAAGAUUGGACAUUGAUCCAGAAACCAUAACUUGGCAAAGAGUGUUGGAUACCAAUGAUAGAUUCCUGAGGAAGAUCACGAUUGGACAGGCUCCAACGGAGAAGGGUCACACACGGACGGCCCAGUUUGAUAUCUCUGUGGCCAGUGAAAUUAUGGCUGUCCUGGCUCUCACCACUUCUCUAGAAGACAUGAGAGAGAGACUGGGCAAAAUGGUGGUGGCAUCCAGUAAGAAAGGAGAGCCCGUCAGUGCCGAAGAUCUGGGGGUGAGUGGUGCACUGACAGUGCUUAUGAAGGAUGCAAUCAAGCCCAAUCUCAUGCAGACACUGGAGGUGAGCAGAGUGACUCCUGCCUUCUUGAAUUGGUUUUGGACAGUCAGAGCAGAGUGGUUAUAAAGCACACUUGCCAGGCGCGGUGGCUCACACCUGUAAUCCCAGCACUUUGGGAAGCCAAGGUGGGCAGAUCACAAGGUCAGGAGAUCGAGACCAUCCUGGCUAACAUGGUGAAACCCCAUCUCUACUAAAAAUACAAAAAAUUAGCCGGGCAUGGUGGCGGGCGCCUGUAGUCCCAGCUGCUCGGAAGGUUGAGGCAGAAUGGCGUGAACCUGGGAGGCAGAGCUUGCAGUGAGCCGAGAUCACGCCACUGCACUCCAGCCUGGGCGACAGAGCGAGACUCCGUCUCAAAAAAAAAA